GGAAGCAUUUGAUUGCAAACUUAAACUAAUGGCACUCAGAAGGUUACAACAAUCAUCAGAUAAGAGGCUUUAGGGCAUUUUUAUCUUGUUCUAAUGCUCACAAGUUAAUGAGGCAAUAAGAGAUACUAUCAGACUUGGUCUAGCAACAUUGUACAGACUGGAUGUUCAAAACUGCAUUUACUGCAGAUGCAAGAGCUUUGUAUGCAUUAUCACUGGAUCCAAAAUGGAGGAAACUGAAGAGGAAUAUAGCAAACCAAACAGAAAGAAAGACUUUUGUCUUUUCCAGAAAGGAUCAAACCAUUGCAGAAUUUCUUCCCACUACUGAACAAACUACAGGAGACAAAGGGGACUUGCAGAAGAGACAUUCUUAGACAUGAAUACCAGGGUAUAACAAAUAUUUUGUAGGAUUUUCUUAACUGGU